rnacentral:rRNA from 1 species
UACGGAGGGUGCGAGCGUUGUCCGGAAUCAUUGGGCGUAAAGGGCGCGUAGGUGGCGGGACAAGCGUGCGGUGAAAUCCCGGGGCUCAACCCCGGAACUGCAUUGGAUACUGCCUUGCUCGAGUACUGGAGAGGGAACUGGAAUUUACGGUGUAGCAGUGAAAUGCGUAGAGAUCGUAAGGAAGGCCAGUGGCGAAGGCGAGUUCCUGGACAGUUACUGACGCUGAGGCACGAAGGCCAGGGGAGCAAACGGG